rnacentral:rRNA from 1 species
UACGUAGGGUGCGAGCGUUAAUCGGAAUUACUGGGCGUAAAGCGUGCGCAGGCGGUUUGUUAAGACAGGCGUGAAAUCCCCGGGCUCAACCUGGGAGCUGCGCUUGUGACUGGCAGGCUAGAGUACGGCAGAGGGGGGUGGAAUUCCACGUGUAGCAGUGAAAUGCGUAGAGAUGUGGAGGAACACCAAUGGCGAAGGCGACUACCUGGCCCACUCUUGACGCUGAGGAGCGAAAGCCAGGGGAGCAAACGGG